CCUACGGGAGACAGCAGUGGGGAAUAUUGCGCAAUGGGCGAAAGCCUGACGCAGCGACGCCGCGUGAGGGAUGAAGGUCUUCGGAUCGUAAACCUCUGUCAGCAGGGAAGAACGGUCACUGUGCUAAUCAGCAGUGAAUUGACGGUACCUGCACAGGAAGCACCGGCUAACUCCGUGCCAGCAGCCGCGGUAAUAAGGAGGGUGCGAGCGGUAAUCGGAAUUUUUUGGCGUAAAGCGGUCGUAGGCGGUAUGUCAAAGCAAGGGGGAAAACCCCGCGGUCAACGUGUGAACUGCCUUUGAAACUGGCAAACUUGAGUGUGUGAGAGGAUAGUGGAAUUCCAGGUGUAGGAGUGAAAUCCGUAGAUAUCUGGAGGAACAUCAGUGGCGAAGGCGACUAUCUGGCACAUAACUGACGCUGAGGAGCGAAAGCGUGGGGAGCAAACAGGAUUAGAUACCCCGGUAGUC
rnacentral:rRNA from 1 species